ACUCAAAGGAAUUGACGGGGGCCCGCACAAGCGGUGGAGCAUGUGGUUUAAUUCGAUGCAACGCGAAGAACCUUACCUGCCCUUGACAUGUCAGGAAUUCUGCAGAGAUGCGGGAGUGCCUUCGGGAACCUGAACACAGGUGCUGCAUGGCUGUCGUCAGCUCGUGUCGUGAGAUGUUGGGUUAAGUCCCGUAACGAGCGCAACCCUUAUCCUUAGUUGCCAGCACGUAAAGGUGGGAACUCUAAGGAGACUGCCGGUGACAAACCGGAGGAAGGUGGGGACGAGGUCAAGUCAUCAUGGCCCUUAUGGGCAGGGCCACACACGUGCUACAAUGGGGUGGCACAAAGGGAAGCAAACCCGCGAGGGGGAGCGGAUCUCAAAAAACACCUCGUAGUCCGGAUUGGAGUCUGCAACUCGACUCCAUGAAGUUGGAAUCGCUAGUAAUCGCGGAUCAGAAUGCCGCGGUGAAUACGUUCCCGGGCCUUGUACACACCGCCCGU
rnacentral:rRNA from 1 species